GCCGCAGGGCCAGACGGAUUACCAGGACGUGUACUCCAAGCAUGCGCUGACCAACUGGCAAGUGUCUUCAAUUACAUUUUCAACCUGUCCCUGACUGAGUGUAAUACCAACAUGUUUAAAACAGACCACCAUAGUCCCUGUGCCCAAGAAUACUAAGGUAACCUGCCUAAAUGAUUACCGACCCAUAGCACUCACGUCUGUAGCCAUGAAAUGGCUAACAUCAACACCAUUUUCCCAGAAACCCUAGACCCACUCCAAUUUGCAUACCGCCCCAACAGAUCCACAGAUAAUGCAACGUUUGAUCCAAGUUAAACAAUUUAAAGGCAAUGCUACCAAAUUCGAAUUGAGUGUAUGUCAACUUCUGAUCCACUGGGAAUGUGAUGAAUGAAAUACAAGCUGAAAUAAAUCAUUCUCUCUACUAUUAUUCUGACAUUUCACAUUCCUAAAAUAAAGUGGUGAUCCUAACUGACCUCAGACAGGGAAUUUUAAUUAGGAUUAAAUGUCAGUAAUUGUGAAAAAUGGAGUUUAAAUAUAUUUUGCUAAGGUGUAUGUAAACUUCCGACUUCAACUGUAUUUCCUCAAUUACCUCAACUAAACGGUGCCCCUUCACAUUGACUCUGUACCGGUACCCCCUGUAUAUAUCCUCACUAUUGUUAUUUUACUGCUGCCAUUUAAUUAUUUGUUACUUUUAUUUUUUAUCUCUUUUUUACCUAACACUUAUUUUUCUUAAAACUUCUUAAGCAUUGUUGCUUAAGGGCUUGUAAGUACGCAUUUCACCGUAAGGUCUGCACCUGUUGUAUUCGGCGCAUGUGACAAAUAAAAAAUGUGAUUUGAUUUGAGUCUGUAUUGUCUUUUUGCAUCCGCUAAUGGAUUUGCAGAGCUCGUACCUGCCAUAACCCUAUGUGAGUGCUCCUUAGUUUACAAGAAGUUAAAACACUCCUAAAACAGACAACUACACUACACGUUCAAUGAGACACACAAGCAGGCCAAAAUGGCUCCUACAUGGCCCAACGUGAACACUCAGAGAAUAGAGUAAUUUAGAACGCAAAGUACCAGCACUGACAAAUCUUCAGCAGCACAGUGGCAAAAAAAAACUCCCUAGAAGGAUGAGAACCUGACUCAGUCAGAGGCUGUGCACAUCUGACUGUAGCCUACCAGUAGAUGACAACAGUGUGACACAGAAGCACUUUUGCAAAGUAGACUGAAAAUUGUCAAUGGGCGCGUUCCUCUGCCCAGGCGUUGCUGACGCCUGCAAGAUUUUACAACGCCUUAAUAGGUAUUUUACGUAUCAGCGAAACACAUUAUAUGUUAUAGAAAACUGUCAGUCGAUGACACGCUUAAUGACAUGGCUGUAACGUCUGCGUCCAACUCACACUCCCAAACACUUAGAUCCCCGGAACGCAGCCCACUUUCCAGCUCACUCUCCAGAUCUCAAUCACAGGAAUUCUAGUCACCUGUUCACAUACCUGCAUGUCAUCCUCCCACACUAUUUAGUUCAGUUCCUUGCACCCCAUCACUGUGAGGUAUGGUUUGUUUUGAGACACACUUUUUUGGAGCGCUGGGUUUUCCCGUCCUUCUCUCCUCCCGUGUAUGAUAGUUUUUGCCUGCCUCACUCACAACGCCUUUUACCUAUUCCCUUCCUGUACUGUUGCCAUUUUUGGACCUACCGUGUAUGACCUUCUGCCUGCCCCUGGACUCAGCUACCUGCCUCCUCCUAUGGUCCUUUUCAUUAAACACCUGCUGCGCUCUGCGCUUGAAACCAGCUUUCCGUCUCCCUCGUGUUCAUUACAGUGGUAUGCAACCAUUACUAUCCAAUGCCCGAGCCGGGGUACACGACCAUAAACUAUUCUCUCAUUAACAUUUAAUUAUUAUUAUUUUUUUUGUAAUUUAGCAGACGCGCUUAUCCAGAGCAAUUUAUAGGAGCAAUUAGGGUUAAGUGCCUUGCUCAAGGGCACAUUGACAGAUUUUUCACUUAGUUAGUUCUGGGAUUUGAACCAGAGAGCUUUUGGUUACUUGCUCAAUGCUCUUAACCACUAGGCUACCUGCCAUCAAGCAAUACUACAUUGAGUGUAGUUCAUACACGUGGGAUCAGUUUCAGAAGCUGAGUGAGCAGGUGAUGGCUCGGGUGGAUAUGAGAGGGGAUGUGGAUAGUAUGAAUAACUGGGUGAGAACAGCGUUAGUGUGGGGAAGCUACUGAGGCUAUACCUAAGAGUUCAGGGAGGAGGAGGAGGAGGAAAGCAGUCCCAUGGUGGACGGAGGAGUGUGGGGCAAUGGUGAGGAGUAUGAACAGGGCAUUUAGAGUACUGUCAAAGAUGCAUAACUUCCAAUAUCUGAUUUAGUAUAAGCAGACCCAGGCCCUGGUGAGGAGAACUAUUCGUCAGGCAAAGAGGUCAUGUUGGCGUCGUUUCCUUGACACUAUUGGAAGGGCGACACCUGUGGGAGAAGAGUAGGGGGAUGAUUAAGAGGAUGAGUGGGGUCAGAAGGGAGUGGGAUUAUCAAGUGUUGACGAGGGUGAAGGAUGUGGCAGUAAGAGAUGAGGAGAAGGCAGAGAUGAUGGCCAAAGCUUUUGUCCAAGUGCAUAGCUCGGCAAAUUUGUCAGAGGAGAGCAGAGGGAGAGAGAGAGAAUGAGAGAGGAGAAUCCUGGAGUGCUGGAUAGGAAGGAGGAUGUAAAUUAUGCGUUGAAUGCACCAUUUACCAUUGCAGAGGUGAAAAGGGCAAUGGGUAAGGCUGGGUUAACUUCACCUGGGAAAGAUGAGGUGUGCUAUGUUAUGUUGGCCCAUCUUAGUGAUGAGGCACUUGAUAAGGUAUUGGUGUUGCACAACAGAGUGUGGGAGGAGGGGAAACUACCGGGCAGCUGGAAGGAGGCAGUAGUGGUACCAAUCCUGAAGCCAGGGAAGGACACAUCAAGGCCAACAAGCAAACAAGCUAUCGGCCAAUAGCUUUAACAUCACAUGUAUGUAAGAUCAUGGAAUGUAUGAUUACGGAGAGGCUAACUUACUUCCUGGAGAGCAGGGGGCUAGUGUCGCCACAUUAGAGUGGGUUCAGGAAGCGUAGGGGAACUACGGACCGAGUAUUCUGCUUAAAGUACCGCUUCCAGACAAACUAAACACCUUCUUUGCCCGCUUUGAGGAUAAUACAGUGCCACCGUCACGGCUUUCUAACAAAGACAGCACCCCCCCUCCUUCACCGUGGCCAACGUGAGUAAAACAUUUGAACUUGUUAACCCUCGCAAAGCUGCUGGCCCAGACGGCAUCCCUAGCCGCGUCCUCAGAGCAUGCGCAGACCAGCUGGCUGGUGUGUUUACGGACAUAUUUAAUCACUCCCUAUCCCAGUCUGUUGUCCCCACAUACUUCAAGAUGGCUACCAUUGUUCCUGUACCCAAGAAAACAAAGAUAACUGAACUAAAUGACUACCGCCCUGUAGCACUCACUUCUGUUAUCAUGAAGUGCUU
rnacentral:lncRNA from 1 species